rnacentral:rRNA from 1 species
AAUCUUGCGCAAUGGCCGAAAGGCUGACGCAGCGACGCCGCGUGGGGGAGGAAGGUCUUCGGAUCGUAAACCCCUGUCACCGGGGAAGAACACCUGUGGGAGGAAAUGCCUGCAGGAUGACGGUACCCGGGGAGGAAGCACCGGCUAACUCUGUGCCAGCAGCCGCGGUAAUACAGAGGGUGCGAGCGUUGUUCGGAAUUACUGGGCGUAAAGCGCGCGCAGGCGGCUCUUUAAGUCUAUGGGUCAAAGCCCGGGGCUCAACCCCGUGGUCGCCCGGGAUACUGGAGAGCUAGGGACAUGUAGGGGCGAGCGGAAUUCCGGGUGUAGCGGUGGAAUGCGUAGAGAUCCGGAAGAACACCGGGGGCGAAGGCGGCUCGCUGGGCAUGGUCCGACGCUGAGGCGCGAAAGCGUGGGGAGCGAAC